UGUGAAAUGAAUUUUCAUUCAUGUUUCUGUCAGGUUGACAAGAUCAGACAUUGUCAAAGCUAACACCCCAGCAAGUGUUCAGCACUGGGAGGUGGCCUGAAGAUGAUUAUCCAGACCAACAAUCUUUGGUUUAACUGAGCUGAAACUUCAAUUCCACAUUUGUAGAAGCAGAAUCUGUAAUGGCAUCUGAAGAAGAAUUAAAAUGGUUCCUUGAUCAGAUUAAAGGUGGUGUUUUUAUCAGCACGGGAUAACUUACAUUUGGAAACUUUUGCCCUCCAGAUGGAUAUGUCCAGCUACAUUUACGUACUGCUGUUCAUGGCUUCUCGUGAUACCAUUAUCCUUUACCUAUAUCUAGCUGGAGAGAUCAUCCUGAUAUGAAAAUCCAGAAUCUUCUCAUGGAUUCUCAAAUUCGUCCCAGCACAAACUCAGCACCUUCAGCUGAUUCUUAAAAGAGACAGGUUGAACCCAUUACAUAAAAUGCUAUUGGAAUAUUCCCAGUUUGAAAACAAACUAUUACUUUUGUCAGGCUGCAGGCACUUUUCCAGACCAGCUAAAACCACAUUAGAGGCCAGAUCCACCUACUGUGUACAAAUCAUGGGUCAGAGGCUGCAUGAACUGAAAAUUAGUGUAUCUAUAGCCAAAGGGGACAUUUGGCAUUUGAUAUAUCACUUUCAUUAUGUCAAAUAUCAGUCCCUAAAUACAGGUUUAGCACUAACUUUUGCUGUUGAAAAGUCAGCUUUUACAUGAAGGUACAGGUGUUUUUAAUAUUUACAACAUAAAUAAAAUAAAUCCAAGAAAAGCAAAGGCAUUCAGAAACUUUGGGAUGCAAAUUCCCUGUAGUGAGCUCUGAUAUGGUCACUGGGUUAUAUUCACUCCCUCUACACUCUCUAUGUUCCUAAAUUUCAGUUAAAUUUAAUAAAAAAUAUAGGCCUCCAUUAUUAUUUCAGCAGCUUCAGAAGCAGGGUUGAACUAGAACGGUCUUCAGAGGCCACUUCCAACCCUAGAACUAGAUGGUCUUCAGAAGGAAUCCUUGAAGGAACAUAUUCCUCUUAGCAGGAAUAUUUGGAUUUUCAGCUAUGUUAGUACAAACACAGCUUCAGACAGGGUGUAAAUCUGAUCAUUACAUUUAAUUCUACCCUAGCAUUAAAUAUGAAUCACGACUAAUGGGUGUAUGUCAGGAUAAGGGCCUGUGCAUUCUCUACACAGAAAUUUAUGACUGUGAUCAUUAUCACAAGCAAUAAACACCAGCUUAUAAAUACCUCAGCUGCAGAGCAGAGCUGCAUGGCUGAAGUCUUGUGCAGCUGCUUUUGAGUCAAGCAAGGGCUCUCCCUGCAGCUCCACAUCCCAUUCUCCUCUGCUGCUGCCUCCCUUUUGGCCUCCCCUGAUCACACUCUGUUCUGCUUUGCUCUCCGUGGCUCUGCUGUGCUCCACAGGUACCUCCAAGAACUUUGAAGGAGACUCUGAGCUAGAAUAAGGUGCCAGGAGUACAUUCUUGCUUUGGAAAUAUUUUUGCUUCCCUUGCUACAUAUCUUAGAGUUAACAUUGUCUGAGUUCUUAACGUAUUCGCUGCCUGAGCGCAUUCCCAGAACUCAGGCGCUGUAGGUUGGACUAAAAGCUGGGAUGAGGUGAUUGACAGGGAGGUGGAGCUGUUCAUCCCUCCUCCUGUCACACUAACAAGCACUAAGUUGGUUAUUGCUUCCAGGAGGACACCUGAGAUUCCUUGUUCUGCCAUGAGAACUCCCUCUUUUACUGGUAUUUUUAAUAAGAGGUUUGACUUUUUAGGGAAAGUGCUUUCCAAGGCUGGAAAAAAAAACAGAAUUAGAAGUAAGGUCUCUGAAGGUUGGAACUACAUUAAAGGAACCUGACAGAGUUUUCAUGUUCCUCAGUUGGGGUGGCAUAAGCUUAUUACAGGGUAUGUUUCACUCUUAAUUUGCAGGAAGACAAAAUAACCUUUAAUUCUUGGUUUUUGCAUUCAAAUAGAGGAUAUGAGCAGACUGACCAGAAAAGUUUCUUUCCCUAUUUCAUGUACUCCACUGACACAUACAAUAGGAAAAAAAAAUUAAAAACCUGGCUAUUAAAGAGGAUUUACUAACUAUCAAUUAGGAACAAGAGGUGCAUCAGAAUUAAGAAUCUGUCUCUUAUUUUUACCACUUGGAAUAGAAAAAUCAUAGCUAUCUGUUUUGCUGUGUUCCUAAAUAAUUAAGCAGCAAUGAAAAUAGGUGCACACUAUUAAAAAUCUGCACUUUGUACAUUUGUACAUUAAUCUGUGUACAGUGUAUUGUCUGUACAUAUGUGCAGUAUGUAGCCAAAAUGUACAUAAAAUGGACAACAGGAGUUAAGAAACAUACUUUCUAUAAAAAAAACACCAGGAGAGAAACAAAUCUGAAUACUUAUGAUCCCUGAGCUCAGACUCAACUCAUUUUAAUGCUUAGAAGUUCUGCUCUCACUUGCUGUUCAGUAAUUUUUCAGCUCCUUAUAUAAACUUAUAUAAAUAACAGCUUUCAUUAACUCUCUUUGGGCUCCAAGAAAUGUUUAAUCCUUCAUUCACACAAACAGCUACAAAUAGGUGCUCAUUUCUAUUUAUCUCACUUGUUGGUGACAUUUUUUUAUUAAUUUUGGUUGUGCAUUUGCAUUCUACCCUAAGCUGUCUCCUGUGCUAGGUUAUUCUCCAGUUAUGUCUCAGACUCCUAACUGUAAUUGCUGAAAGUAUAAGCUCAGUAAAACACAUAAACCUCAUUCCAAGCACACAGGUUUAUCUGGUUUAAAUUAAAAUUUAGAUAGAAUGACAAUAAAUGUUCGAGGUUUAAUUGCUUGCCAUAUUUAUACAAAAUAAAAACAUUAAAACAAUGCUGUUUGCUUUGUGGUGGUCAAAAAUAAGACAGUAAUAGAGGAAAAAAUGGGUUCUGAAUCUGCACUUCUCAAGGAAUUAAACGUAUGAUUUACUUGCUGACUAAUGUUUCUGGUUUUUAUCAUUUUCAGCUAGGAAAUGGAGCAGGAUCACUCUCAGUCUCUCAUCCUCCAUCCUCUUGCUGAUGAUUAGCAUGACUAAGUCCACAGAGCAUCAGCAGUAUCAGUGACUCAGCCAUGUGACACGGGCUCUAUCAGUCCAUCUAGGAGUGAUUUAGAAAAAAGGCAAACACAAGUUUCUGUGCUGAGGAAAGACAAUUCUUUCUAUUUGACAAAAAUGAAGCAUUUCAUCCAGCCACCCACAGAAGGAAGUGACUUCAUGAAGCUGACCACUUAGCUGCUACCCUGAUAGAUGUCAAUCUAUUCUGUUACUCUCCAGCAGGUCAGAAAAACAUUUUUCUUUUUGGUUCACAGAUAAUUUGAAAGAAUUCAUACUCUGAGAUUAAGGUGCAUUUUCCAAAAAUAUUUCAUAUAAAGCUUUUGGCCCAUUCAGUCCCUAGCCUUUAAGUACAGAGAGUGGUGCUCCCACUGGUAAAGUCACUGAGCAAUCUCCAGCUGGAGACUGGAGUCCUUCUCUUAUUUCUUUCCUGGACAAAGCAUUCUGCAGCGUGUGUUGCCUGUCAGGUGGGGCUUACAAAAAUGCUCCCAAGACAGGGCAGGUUUUGUGCUGUUUCUUAAGUUAUACAUUAUAUAUAGGGGAUGCUUUAUAUGCGAUGAGAGUAAAUGUAUUUUCAGUCCAUAGCUAUGCUUCCCAGUGUGCUGUGGAGUGAAGCUGCUCCUGGCAGUGCUGAUAUCAACCAUGUGUCAAAAAUUUCCUUGAUACUCACUGAAUUCCUGCUACCAAAACUCAUCAUCCUCUGAACACAUACAGGAUGUAGCCUACGGCAGUAUUUUUCAUUCUUUGCCUUCUUUCCAGUAAAUAAAUCUAAGUUAACCUUUUUAA